rnacentral:rRNA from 1 species
AGGUCAAGUGAAGAAGGGCGCACGGUGAAUGCCUUGGCACUGGAAGCCGAUGAAGGACGCGACUAACCGCGAAAGUCUUCGGGGAGCCGUAAGUAGGCUUUGAUCCGGAGGUCUCCGAAUGGGGGAACCCAGCAUGUGCAGACAUGCUAUCCUUAAGUGAAUACAUAGCUUAAGGAGGGAACACGCAGUGAACUGAAACAUCUAAGUAGCUGCAGGAAGAGAAAGAAAUAUCGAUUUCCCAAGUAGCGGCGAGCGAACAGGAAAGAGCCCAAACCGGCAGAUUUAUCUGCCGGGGUUGUAGGACUGAGACAUGGCACUUCAGAGGAUAGCAGAAGCGUUUGGGAAAGCGCGCCAGAGAGGGUGAGAGCCCCGUAAGCGAAAUCCAAAGAAGGCCUAUCAGUAUCCUGAGUAGGGCGGGACACGUGAAAUCCCGUUUGAAUCCGCGAGGACCAUCUCGCAAGGCUAAAUACUAACCAGUGACCGAUAGUGAACCAGUACCGUGAGGGAAAGGUGAAAAGAACCCCGGGAGGGGAGUGAAAGAGAACCUGAAACCGUGUGCCUACAAGUAGUCAGAGCCCGUUAACGGGUAAUGGCGUGCCUUUUGUAGAAUGAACCGGCGAGUUGCGUUAGUCAGCAAGGUUAAGUCAGAAAAGACGGAGCCGUAGCGAAAGCGAGUCUGAAGAGGGCGAGCAGUUGGCUGACGCAGACCCGAAACCAAGUGACCUACCCAUGACCAGGUUGAAGGCGCGGUAAAACGCGCUGGAGGACCGAACCCACGUAAGUUGAAAAUUGCGGGGAUGAGUUGUGGGUAGCGGUGAAAUUCCAAACGAACUUGGAGAUAGCUGGUUCUCUCCGAAAUAGCUUUAGGGCUAGCCUCGCAAAGAGGAUGCUGGAGGUAGAGCUCUGUUUGGACUAGGGGCCCGUCAAGGGUUACUGAAUUCAGAUAAACUGCGAAUUCCAGACAUUUAUGUGCGGGAGUCAGACUGCGAGUGAUAAGAUCCGUAGUCGAAAGGGAAACAGCCCAGAUCACCAGUUAAGGUCCCAAAAUUCAUGCUAAGUGGAAAAGGAUGUGGAGUUGCGCAGACAACUAGGACGUUGGCUCAGAAGCAGCCAUCAUUCAAAGAGUGCGUAAUAGCUCACUAGUCGAGUGACGCCGCGCCGAAAAUUUACCGGGGCUAAGCAUGAUACCGAAACUGUGGAUGUGCAUUUAUGCACGUGGUAGGAGAGCGUUCUAGCGGCGGUGAAGCAUGACCGAGAGGACAUGUGGAGCUUCUAGAAGUGAGAAUGCCGGUAUGAGUAACGAAAGACAGGUGAGAAUCCUGUCCGCCGCAAGACUAAGGUUUCCUGGGGCAGGCUCGUCCGCCCAGGGUAAGUCGGGACCUAAGGCGAGGCCGAGAGGCGUAGUCGAUGGACAACAGGUUGAAAUUCCUGUACUGCACCGAAUCGUUAUGAGCGAUGGAGGGACGCAGGAGGCUAGCAGCGCGUGGUGCUGGAUACCACGUUCAAGCGUCAAGUCUGAGAG